rnacentral:rRNA from 1 species
UACGUAGGGGGCAAGCGUUGUCCGGAUUUAUUGGGCGUAAAGAGCGUGUAGGCGGCCAGGUAGGUCGGUUGUGAAAACUGGAGGCUCAACCUUCAGACGUCGACCGAAACCCCCUGGCUAGAGUCCGGGAGAGGAGAGUGGAAUUCCUGGUGUAGCGGUGGAAUGCGCAGAUAUCAGGAAGAACACCCGUGGCGAAAGCGGCUCUCUGGAACGGUACUGACGCUGAGACGCGAAAGCGUGGGGAGCGAACAGG